rnacentral:rRNA from 1 species
AACGAACGCUGGCGGCGCGUCUUAAGCAUGCAAGUCGAACGGCAAGAGAGAAGCUUGCUUCUCUCCUAGAGUGGCGGACUGGUGAGGAACACGUGGGUAAUCUACCCUUAAGAUGGGGAUAGCUGCUAGAAAUAGCAGGUAAUACCGAAUACACUCAGUGCUUCAUAAGGGGUGUUGAGGAAAGGAAGCUACGGCUUCGCUUGAGGAUGAGCUUGCGUCCCAUUAGCUAGUUGGUGAGGUAACGGCCCACCAAGGCGACGAUGGGUAUCCGGCCUGAGAGGGUGAACGGACACAUUGGGACUGAGAUACGGCCCAAACUCCUACGGGAGGCAGCAGCUAAGAAUAUUCCGCAAUGGACGGAAGUCUGACGGAGCGACGCCGCGUGGAUGAAGAAGGCUGAAAAGUUGUAAAAUCCUUUUGUUGAUGAAGAAUAAGGGUGAGAGGGAAUGCUCAUCUGAUGACGGUAAUCGACGAAUAAGCCCCG